rnacentral:rRNA from 1 species
UACAGAGGUCUCAAGCGUUGUUCGGAUUCAUUGGGCGUAAAGGGUGCGUAGGCGGCGCGGUAAGUCGGGUGUGAAAGCCCCGGGCUUAACUUGGGAAUUGCGCUCGAAACUACUUUGCUGGAGUGUGGCAGAGGAAGGUGGAAUUCCACGUGUAGCGGUGAAAUGCGUAGAUAUCGAGAGGAACACCUGCGGCGAAGGCGGGUAGCUGGGCCGACACUGACGCUGAUGCGCGAAAGCCAGGGGAGCGAACGGG